CCGACACGUCCAACGUCCAACGUAACAAGUCCACCGGCGACAGCAAGCGCCUCUCCGGCAACCGCCACAAGCGCUCCCGCGACGAUUCGCGCGAGGAUCGUAGCUCUAAGAAGCAAAAGAUAUAAGAAGUUAAACUGUCUCAAGUAGCGGAGUUAAACGGGUCUCAAUCCAACGACUCGCGUCUUAAUUAAUUUUACUGUUAGUUUACCGUGUCCGUCUGUAUGUUCAAAAUCAGGUUGCCUGUUUGUAUGUAUGUAGAUUAAUUCGAUUCCAUUACUUUAAUUUAUAAAAACACUUGAAAUAAAUGUAAAAUUUUAUUA